rnacentral:ribozyme from 13 species
UCUUCUCCUUUCUCUUCUCCUUUCUCUUCUCCUUUCUCUUUCUCACUCUCUUCUGUAGAAGAGAAAGGGUAUGUUUUUUCGCAUUCUUGGCGAGAGAGAAGAGAGAAGGGAGGGAGAGAGGCUCUCUCUCUCAUUGAGAAGAAUGUGAAGUCUUUGAUUUCUCCCUCAGAAUUAAAAGGACGGUGAAAAACAUUCAAAAGAUA